AAGUCGUAACAAGGUUUCCGUAGGUGAACCUGCGGAAGGAUCAUUAUCGAAUGAACAUGGGGAUCGGUUGUCGCUGGCUUCUUCAUCGAGGCAUGUGCACGCCUUUCUCUAUUCAUCCAACACACACCUGUGAACUUGUGAGACGGAUAGUAGUCUCCCUCUGGAUUUAUUCAUUUAAUUCCCGGGGGGUCGACGAGGUCCGUCUGUCAAUACAUAAACUCCAAUUAAAUAAAUCUGAAUGUAAUCUGAUGUAACGCAUCUAUAAACUAAGUUUCAACAACGGAUCUCUUGGCUCUC
rnacentral:misc_RNA from 1 species